UUAUUGGUCAAGGUCAUGCCAAUUACUUAUUACCACAUCUAGUUCAGCCUAUCAGCGGCCUUGAUUCCCGGGACUUUAGUUUCAGUUAGUGUAUGACUCAAGCAAACAGUAUGGUCAGAAACAUGAAUCCCCCAUCCUGAUGAUCACUACCACAGUUUUUCCUCCAAUGGACUGAAUCCCUGUCUGUCUGAUGUUUAACUGUGCGUGCAUCUAAACCCUCAAAUGCAGAGAACUUGCCUAUGAAUUGGCACAUCGAAACAACAUCCCUGUCCCAGACAACUGGUCAAGAAAUGGAAGGGUCAUCCCGUUGACAGAGGGAAAGAGAGAGGAGAGGAAGAGAGCAAGAAGAGGAGGAGUGUGUUCUUUACAGUCCCUGUGGGAUGACUGGGCUCAGCUGCUGUACACGGCUCAAUGUGCAGUGAUAGUUAAUCUCAUAUGCAGCUUUCUUCUCAGUGAGACAGACAGACAGGCUAACAGGACCUGAGCCCUAGGACCAUGCCUCAGGACUACCUGGCAUGAUGACUCCUUGCUGUCCCCAGUCCACCUGGCCGUGCUGCUGCUCCAGUUUCAACUGUUCUGCCUGCGGCUAUGGAACCCUGACCUGUUCACCGGACGUGCUACCUGUCCCAGACCUGCUGUUUAACUCUCUAGAGACAGCAGGAGCGGUAGGGAUACUCUCAAUGAUCGGCUAUGAAAAGCCAACUGACAUUCACUCCUGAGGUGCUGACCUGAUGCACCCUCAACAACCACUGUGAUUAUUGUUAUUUGACCAUGCUGAACAUUUGAACAUCUUGGCCAUGUUCUGUUAUAAUCUCCACCCGGCACAGCCAGUAGAGGACUGGCUACCCCUCAUAGCCUGGUUCCUCUAGGUUUUGUCACAGGCCGGCUCAUAGCCUGUGGCAAAAAUGAGGGGAUAUGGACAACAGGUAUAGGCCAAUCAAAAGGUUCUUUAUUAUAAACCAAACUAUUAACUCUAUACCCAGAAAAAGGAAUGAGGUAUGGAAAUGUCAUAAUGUAGGGUGAAUGUAAUGUGCAUGGAUGCAUGAAUCUGUGUGAACAUGACUGAGUGGAAACUAAGUAAACCUACAAAGGAACAAACAAAACAGGAUCAUACCUGGAGGAGCAGGGAGAGAGAGAGGUUAGUGAAGCAGUUUAAAUAUCCUGAGCCCAGGUGGCUCUAAUCACUAACGACCCUCCUCUGCCUGCAGGGGGAACCGCCCCUGCACUGCAGAGGGGCCGUGACAGUUUCUUCCUAGGUUUUGGCCUUUCUAGGGAGUUUUUCCUAGCCACCGUGCUUCUACACAUGCAUUGCUUGCGGUUUGGGGUUUUAGGCUGGGUUUCUGUACAGCACUUUGAGAUAUCAGCUGAUGUAAGAAAGGCUAUAUAAAUACAUUUGAUUUGACUUCACCCCUACCCACAUGUACAAAUUACUUCUAACCUGUACCCCUGCACACUGACUAACCUGUACUCCAGCACCGUAAUCCCCUGUAUGUAUCCUACUGGUUAGAGAGUUGGGCCAGUAACUGAAAUGUUGCUGGAUCGAAUCCCCGAGCUGACAAGGUAAAAAUCUGUCGUUCUGCCCCUGAACAAGGCAGUUAACCCACUCUACCCCGGUAGGCCGUCAUUGUAAAUAAGAAUUUGUUCUUAACUGACUUGCCUAGUUAAAUAUAUUUUUUCAAAUAGCCUUGUUAUUGUGUUACUUUUUAUAAUUUUUUUACUUUAGUUUAUUUGGUUAACGUUUUCUUAAGUCUUCUUUAACUGCACUGUUGGUUAAGGGCUUGUAAGUAACCAUUUCACGGUAAGGUCUACACUUGUAUUCGGCGCAUGUGACAAAUAAAGUUUGAUUUGAUAUCUGUCUGUAUCAGAGUUAUUAAUAGACUGUUUCAUAAAAGCUGAUAAUUAGCACUUUAGACGAUCAAAAGGGACAAUCUAGCUCAAAAUCUCUGAGGCAUGAAUUAACAUGGACAUCAUAUGGAAAGUGUGUGUGGGAGUGUGUGUGCGUUAGAGUUAACAUGACUUAAUGUGUCAAAGCAAAGCUUUUAUAUAACUUGUGUCUUGUAUGUGUGACGGCUCUUGAUAUACGCGACGCUCAUUCCAUAUCACAGCACAAUACCGUGAAUUGACUUAAGGUAACACUUCACUUUAUUGAAUAUAAGUGUUGCCUAACUUAAUAUGUCAACACAAAACAUUGUAAAUCUUGUUUGUUUUAUGAACUUGGGUCUUACCUUAGCUACUCUGCUUCACCAUGGCGUAUGUAUGACGGCUCUUGAUAUACUGUUCCAUAUGGCUAAUUAGGAUGUAUGAUGCCUGUUGCGGCGUCUGUCUGCUUGUCUCUGCCUGCCCGUAUGCUUUUAAUCAGCACUCACCUUAUCUGACUGACUUUACAUGCAGAGCCCCUCUCUCUCGCCCUCUCUCUCUCUCUCACCCUCUUUCUGGCUUUUCUCUUCCUCUCUCACUUUUCUAUUUUUCGACCUAUCCCUCUCUGUCCCCCCCUCUCUGUAUCUUUUGCUUUGUCUCCCUCCCUCCCCGUCAGCCUCCUCACAACAGAGAGGCAGCAGAGAACAUUUCCAAACGUUCUCCAGAGACAGCUCUCGAACACAGCCUCAUCCUCAAGUUCCAAGUAACACUGCGUAAGAAUCCUCAUGCGUCUGUCUUUGAGAUCCUGAGGGAAGAGGCUAAGGGCUGGGAAGUGAACAGGGGAUUGGGAAUAGGAAGUGUGAAAACUACAUGCAAGUGCCGUAUGUCACAAGCUAUCUAGAUAGUGCUACGGUCUGUUUGUUCAAAUGGCUGAAUAGGGAGUUUGUAAACAACGUAAAUGUGUUGUGUGUCACAGGCUAUCUAGCUGUAGCAUCUUUGUUCAAACUGCUGUGUUACUGGUAUUGUUGUGAUUCACGUUUUUGCCAGGUCAUAUUGAACAACCCCCGCCCAACAAUGCAAU
rnacentral:lncRNA from 1 species